AAGACGGGUGGCUGCAGUGGGGAAUAUUGGACAAUGGGCGAAAGCCUGAUCCAGCCAUGCCGCGUGUGUGAAGAAGGCCUUCGGGUUGUAAAGCACUUUCAGUGGGGAAGAAAGCCUUGGGGCUAAUACCCUCGAGGAAGGACAUCACCCACAGAAGAAGCACCGGCUAACUCCGUGCCAGCAGCCGCGGUAAUACGGAGGGUGCGAGCGUUAAUCGGAAUUACUGGGCGUAAAGCGCGCGUAGGCGGUCUGAUAAGCCGGUUGUGAAAGCCCCGGGCUCAACCUGGGAACGGCAUCCGGAACUGUCAGGCUAGAGUGCAGGAGAGGAAGGUAGAAUUCCCGGUGUAGCGGUGAGAUGCGUAGAGAUCGGGAGGAAUACCAGUGGCGAAGGCGGCCUUCUGGACUGACACUGACGCUGAGGUGCGAAAGCGUGGGUAGCAAACAGGAUUAGAUACCCGGGUAGUC
rnacentral:rRNA from 1 species